rnacentral:rRNA from 1 species
GGUGACAGGUGGUGCAUGGUUGUCGUCAGCUUCGUGUCGUGAGAUGUUGGGUUAAGUCCCGCAACGAGCCGCAACCCCUAUUGUUAGUUGCCAUCAUUCAGUUGGGCACUCUAGCGAGACUGCGGUAAUAACCGGAGGAAGGUGGGAUGACGUCAAAUCAUCAUGCCCCUUAUGACCUGGGCUACACACGUGCUACAAUGGUUGGUACAACGAGUUGCGAGUCGGUGACGGCGAGCUAAUCUCUUAAAGCCAAUCUCAGUUCGGAUUGUAGGCUGCAACUCGCCUACAUGAAGUCGGAAUCGCUAGUAAUCGCGGAUCAGCACGCCGCGGUGAAUACGUUCCCGGGCCUU